GGUGCAGUAGCUCAGUGGAAGAGCGCGUCCCUCAUAAGGACGUGGUCGAUGGAUCGUUCCCAUCCUGCACUACCA
rnacentral:tRNA from 4 species